rnacentral:rRNA from 2 species
AAAGAUUAAGCCAUGCAUGUCUAAGUACAAACGAAAAUAAAGUGAAACCGCAAAAGGCUCAUUAUAUCAGUUAUGGUUUCUUAGAUCGUAUCCACAAUUACUUGGAUAACUGUGGUAAUUCUAGAGCUAAUACAUGCAUUUAAAGAGAAACCGGUAAAACGGGUUCUCUGCUUUUAUUAGAUUUAAACCAAUGGGGAGCGUUUCGGCGUUCUCACAUUUAAACUGGUUGAACUCUGGAUAAUUUGUUGAUCGCAUGGUCUCGUACCGGCGACGGAUCUUUCAAAUGUCUGCCCUAUCAACUAUUGAAGGUAAUGUCUUGGAUUACCUUGGUUG